rnacentral:rRNA from 1 species
CCUACGGGAGGCAGCAGUGAGGAAUAUUGGUCAAUGGACGAGAGUCUGAACCAGCCAAGUAGCGUGAAGGAUGACUGCCCUAUGGGUUGUAAACUUCUUUUAUAUGGGAAUAAAAUGUUCCACGUGUGGGCUUUUGUAUGUACCAUAUGAAUAAGGAUCGGCUAACUCCGUGCCAGCAGCCGCGGUAAUACGGAGGAUCCGAGCGUUAUCCGGAUUUAUUGGGUUUAAAGGGAGCGUAGGUGGAUUGUUAAGUCAGUUGUGAAAGUUUGCGGCUCAACCGUAAAAUUGCAGUUGAAACUGGCAGUCUUGAGUACAGUAGAGGUGGGCGGAAUUCGUGGUGUAGCGGUGAAAUGCUUAGAUAUCACGAAGAACUCCGAUUGUGAAGGCAGCUCACUGGACUGCAACUGACACUGAGGCUCGAAAGUGUGGGUAUCAAACAGGAUUAGAUACCCUAGUAGUC